UUCAAUAGGUGACAAGAGGUACGGGACAAGUGUGCUGGAAGCUAAAAUCCGGUAUCACCACAGAAGUCUGACUGAACAGGAAAGGAGAGACAGGAAGGUCAGCACCACAUUGAAGCAGUCUGGUACACACUCUCCCAGCUAUUGAUGCCUUGGAAGAGGGGAGAGGC
rnacentral:lncRNA from 1 species